rnacentral:rRNA from 1 species
UGGGGAAUAUUGGACAAUGGGCGCAAGCCUGAUCCAGCCAUGCCGCGUGGAUGAUGAAGGCCUUAGGGUUGUAAAGUCCUUUUAACGGGGAAGAUAAUGACGGUACCCGUAGAAUAAGCCCCGGCUAACUUCGUGCCAGCAGCCGCGGUAAUACGAAGGGGGCUAGCGUUGCUCGGAAUCACUGGGCGUAAAGCGCACGUAGGCGGAUCUUUAAGUCAGGGGUGAAAUCCUGGAGCUCAACUCCAGAACUGCCUUUGAUACUGAGGGUCUCGAGUCCGGGAGAGGUGAGUGGAACUGCGAGUGUAGAGGUGAAAUUCGUAGAUAUUCGCAAGAACACCAGUGGCGAAGGCGGCUCACUGGCCCGGUACUGACGCUGAGGUGCGAAAGCGUGGGGAGCAA